rnacentral:rRNA from 1 species
GACGAACGCUGGCGGCGUGCUUAACACAUGCAAGUCGAACGGAAAGAGAUGAAAGAGCUUGCUCUUUUAUUAAUUUCAGUGGCAAACGGGUGAGUAACACGUAAACAACCUGCCUUAAGGAUGGGGAUAACAGACGGAAACGACUGCUAAUACCGAAUACGUUCUAAGCAUCGCAUGGUGCAUAGAAGAAAGGGUGGCCUCUACAAGAAAGCUAUCGCCUUAAGAGGGGUUUGCGACUGAUUAGGUAGUUGGUGAGGUAACGGCUCACCAAGCCGACGAUCAGUAGCCGGUCUGAGAGGAUGAACGGCCACACUGGAACUGAGACACGGUCCAGACUCCUACGGGAGGCAGCAGUGGGGAAUCUUCCGCAAUGGACGAAAGUCUGACGGAGCAACGCCGCGUGAACGAAGAAGGUCUCCGGAUUGUAAAGUUCUGUGAUUCGGGACGAAAGGGUUUGUGGUGAAUAAUCAUAGACAUUGACGGUACCGAAAAAGCAAGCCACGGCUAACUACGUGCCAGCAGCCGCGGUAAUACGUAGGUGGCAAGCGUUGUCCGGAAUUAUUGGGCGUAAAGCGCGCGCAGGCGGUUUCUUAAGUCCAUCUUAAAAGCGUGGGGCUCGACCCCAUGAGGGGAUGGAAACUGGGAAGCUGGAGUAUCGGAGAGGAAAGUGGAAUUCCUAGUGUAGCGGUGAAAUGCGUAGAGAUUAGGAAGAACACCGGUGGCGAAGGCGACUUUCUAGACGAAAACUGACGCUGAGGCGCGAAAGCGUGGGGAGCAAACAGGAUUAGAUACCCUGGUAGUCCACGCCGUAAACGAUGGAUACUAGGUGUAGGAGGUAUCGACCCCUCCUGUGCCGGAGUUAACGCAAUAAGUAUCCCGCCUGGGAAGUACGAUCGCAAGAUUAAAAUUCAAAGGAAUAGACGGGGGCCCGCACAAGCGGUGGAGUAUGUGGUAUAGUUCGACGCAACGCGAAAGAACCUUACCAAAGCCUUGACAUUGAUCGCAAUCCAUAG